GCGGGGGUCGCCAAGUCUGGUCAAACAACCCUUUUCCACCUCGAUCAUAAGCGUUAAAGGGAAUGGAAAAAGGUCAAGGGAGAAAGUCUCUCUCUUUGUUGGAUCAAAGGCGCAGGGUUUAGGACCCUGUCUCGUAGGAGUUCGCGAGUUCAAAUCUCGUCCCCCGCA
rnacentral:tRNA from 1 species